rnacentral:rRNA from 1 species
UACGAAGGGGGCUAGCGUUGCUCGGAAUCACUGGGCGUAAAGCGCACGUAGGCGGCUUUUUAAGUCAGGGGUGAAAUCCUGGAGCUCAACUCCAGAACUGCCUUUGAUACUGAGAGGCUCGAGUCCGGGAGAGGUGAGUGGAACUGCGAGUGUAGAGGUGAAAUUCGUAGAUAUUCGCAAGAACACCAGUGGCGAAGGCGGCUCACUGGCCCGGUACUAACGCUGAGGCGCGAAAGCGUGGGGAGCAAACAGG